CCUACGUGAGGCAGCAGUGAGGAAUAUUGGUCAAUGGGCGCGAGCCUGAACCAGCCAAGUAGCGUGAAGGAUGACUGCCCUACGGGUUGUAAACUUCUUUUAUAAAGGAAUAAAGUGAGGCACGUGUGCCUUUUUGUAUGUACUUUAUGAAUAAGGAUCGGCUAACUCCGUGCCAGCAGCCGCGGUAAUACGGAGGAUCCGAGCGUUAUCCGGCUUUAUUGGGUUUAAAGGGAGCGUAGAUGGGUUGUUAAGUCAGUUGUGAAAGUUUGCGGCUCAACCGUAAAAUGGCAAUUGAUACUGGCAGUCUUGAGUACAGUUGAGGUAGGCGGAAUUCGUGGUGUAGCGGUGAAAUGCUUAGAUAUCACGAAGAACUCCGAUUGCGAAGGCAGCUUACUAAACUGCCACUGACAUUGAUGCUCGAAAGUGUGGGUAUCAAACAGGAUUAGAUACCCGAGUAGUC
rnacentral:rRNA from 1 species